rnacentral:tRNA from 1 species
GCCGGAGUGGCGGAAUGGUAGACGCAGCGGACUCAAAAUCCGCCGGGCUUUGAGCCUGUGGGAGUUCGAGUCUCCCCUCCGGCA